UUGAUUUAUGGGGUGAUUCAUCUCUGCUUGUCCCUCCAGCUUCCUGGCCCUGGCUCUCCCUGCAUACCUAGGAUGCAGGGCCAGUCCACGGGUGAACAAAUUGCCAAGCCAGUGAAGUUUGUCUUGGGGGCCCCCACCUCCCUGACCUUUGUCCCUCUCCUGUUUGGUGGGUCAGGUGCUUAUUCUAUGUGGAAAGCCAGGCUUUCCCGGGCUUCCCACAAAAAACCAUCAAAGCCACUUCUGGAGCACAAAGAGGAUGAGACGUGGGGGCUGCUCUAAGUUCUUUGGUCUUGUGUUCCAUGUUGGGAAGAUACAAAAUUGAGGUCUCGUUCAAGAGCAACCAGAAGACAAAUAGAAUGCCCUGUCUCAGACUCCUGGGGACAGUGAUAGGUUGGCAGGUUAGAAAGUCCCUCCCCUGAAACUCAACAAACUGCCCUAAAGGGCAGUGACUGACUGGUUGUGAGCCAAGCAUGACCAUAUUCCCUCUACCAUCAGAACGUGUUGGAAUGGCUCCUGUUCAGAGGUGCGUUUGCCCCAUAGAAUCAUCCUUCUCUACAUGCCAGCUGAUGCUUCUCCCUGCCUUGGUUUGUAACUACGGGCCAAAAUAAAGUCUUUCAAUGAUGUGUCCUUAACUGUA